CUUUUCUAAGUAAUGGAGAAUUAUAGGAAAAAUUUUCUAUAAAGUGCCACAGAGACGUAGUUUUGCAGAAAUGCAAAAAGUGAAACGCGGUAAACUCCG
rnacentral:RNase_P_RNA from 1 species